CGCACCCCUAGAGGCGCCCACGGCUCGCUCCGCCCUCUCGGAUAACGGGGCAGGCCGGUGGCCCACGCAGCCCACCAGCUUGCAGGGAGGGCAGACCCUGGGGGAUGUGAGGGAGGCUUUCUCACGCAGACCCUAAAACGGGCUGGGCCGUGGGAGUGCUGGCCAACGUGCCAGGCAGGGAGGACCUGAAUUCCUGAAGGUGGUGGUGGCAGCUGUUAGGGUCCACAGGUUAAUGAUCUCCAACGUCACACAGAAGAGAAUGUGCUGAGGUGUGACCUCCCUCACCCUGCCUUGGCUGCGUGGGGCACCGUCUCUCCAGGACUCACCCUGCCCCCCAAUAGACUGAAGUCUGAAGAUCAGCCCAGUCUUCCUUCAGGCCUCAAUGCCCUCUCACUUCCCCAGCCCGAGGGACUCCUGGCUCUUCUCGGAGGCUGCUCUGUGGGGUCCCUCCCUUGGGCCUUUGCUAAUGCUGUGCCCUCUGCCUGUGCCAGAGGUGGGCCUGGGCCCGUUUCUCAGGGAGCUCCUGAACACCAAGAAAUUGAAUUGCUUUGUAAAUAAACAAAAAGUGCCAAACAAGCCUGCCUGUCACUUGGGAGAUGGCCCGUCUCUGCCCCACCAAAUUUGCUAAUCAAACAAAUAACCUAAAAUAGAAUAGAAAGAACUCAUCUAGACUUUUCUUGUACCUCUGCUCCCCAAAC
rnacentral:lncRNA from 1 species